rnacentral:lncRNA from 1 species
ACACACACACACACACACUUCAGGUCUGUGCCUUGAUCCGGAUCUUCUCAGUCUCCAGACCUGUUAGCAGUAAACGCAUUUUGUUUAAACUGCCCGGCUUAAAGUAUUCUUUGUAUAGCAACCCAGGCUCACUGAGGAAAAGAAAGACUCCACAGCAUAAGUUUUCGCCUUCAGGCGACCCAGAAUAUACAGAAGCAAUGCUGUUGUUAGAAUCUGCAAGAGUCCUGCAAGCCGAAGGACAUGGUCCAGCUAAAAUAAACAGCAAGUACAAUAACACAGCUAACCAAAUACUUAGAGAUGCAACAUUAAAUAUUUAUUUUAGCCCUUUUCAAAUAAAUGGGUACAGAUUGUUCGCAUCCCAAGAGACGUUUGUUUCUUAAACGUUUGUAAAAAAAAAAAAAAUAAUGUCUAAAAACAAACAGCACAGUCUGUUUAUUUUUUAGAGGAAACUGAAAUCAGGGCUACUGGAAUAAAACUUGACCAUUCUAACCGCAACGCUUGCUUGUAGAGAAUUCUGCAUUUCAGUCCUGAAUGUAAGUAUUCUUGUCUCAGUGAUGUCCGACACUGACGGAUAUGACAGUGGUCCUGUAUGGUUAUAAGAGAACUGACGAUCCAGUUGCCCAGUACUGUUACUCUAUUUUUAAUGUCUAGAUCUGUUCACGUGCACAAAUAUUCACCAUUGUGUUAUAGCUGCUUAAAGGAUCCAUAGUCACACUACAUAUGUUUAUAUUCCAGAAGCAAUAGGACAUGCCGUGUAGAAUCGGUGUAUAAUAAACGAUACCGUCUA